CGGUAUAUCAGUGAUUUAUUUCAAUGGUCAGAUGGUAAACAUUGUCCAAGACCAGGUGCAGACUUUAAUGGUCAGGUGGUGAACACUGAUCAAACCCAGGUGCAAAAUCAAAAACAAAAGCAGAUCAUCAUUUGACAGCUUGUAGGGUUUGCCAUCGAUAAACAGCCGACCAUUACGAAAAGUUGGUUUUCUUUUUUCAGCAUAGGCCUUCGCCAUGAUAUUAGAUAGCCCACGCUUUAUUUUUAAGUCUGCCUCAGGUAGGUCUUCAGUUAUAAACAUGUUAUGCAGUUUUCCUAAGUACUUUUUUUCCUUCAGCUAAUACUUGAUUUCUCUGUGGCCUUGCCUGUAAUAAAACUUUGCGAUAAUGUGUCUUGGCUUGUCCGAUCGCUGUUUUCCGGUGCGGUGAUAAUUUUCGAUAGUGAUAUAAGGAAGAUCAAGAUCGUUAAGUAUGAAAGCAUUUAAUAUUUCUUUAGGCUUUUCCAACAAUUCUUCUUUAAUUCCACCAAACCUUAAGUUAAAGCUUCUACUGUAACGUUCCUGACUAACUAGAUGUUUCUCCAUGUCCGCCAUUUUAUUUUGUAAGACCGCCAUUUUGAUUUCAAUGUCCUCCAUUUGUUUAGUUUCUUUUCCAAGUUGUUUUACUUCAUCGUUUGCUUCUUUUGCAGUAUCAUAUGCAAAUUCAACUGACUGUUCCAGAUCUUUAAAUGAUUUUUCCAGUUUGGUGAGUCUUUUGUUAUAUGACUUUUGAUUACUUUAUCAAGUUUACCGUGUAGUUGCUCAGACAGUCUACCAAGUUGAUCAGCUAACGUUUGAUUUUCCCGCACUUCAGGCUUACCUCUUGUUUUACUUGUCAUUUUGUAUAAGAUGAUUGGAAGUAUUUUUAUAAACGUUGGACCUUAGGAGGUGAGUAAACUGCAGUUUUUUAUGACAAAAUUCUCCUAGCGAACGUAGGCAUGUGCUUCACUUACUCGCGCAUGCUCAUGAUAUGUAUUGAAGUAUUGUAUAGUGCCAUUGGAUUGCCAAUCCAUUCAGGGUAUUUUUAGAUGUGUUGCGACUUGACAUAGCCUAAAUAAGUGUUUGGAAACAUUCUUUCAUGUUGUGUCACAAGCGCGUUUCAACACGGUAUAGCCAUAUUAAUAAUAAUCAGGUUCUUUUUCAUUGACGUAACCAAUCAAUCAAAUUUCUUUUUUUCAAUGUUGAUUAGGAAAUAAUUAAAAAAUAUAAUGAAUUGUGAAAUUGAUAGGAAUAUUAACAAAGAACCAUUAAAUUAUUAAUCUUUUCAUUAAUCUUGAUUGAUUUUGUUGUCCUAUUCCUUAUUAAAUGCAACCAUUAAAUGUAACCAAUCAAUCAAUUUUUUUUAUGUUGAUCGGGAAUUAAGUUAAAAAUAAUAUUUGAAUUGUGCAAUUGAUAGGAAUAUUAACAAAGAACCAUUAAACUUUAGCCUAUAGUUUUUAAUUUGUCCAUAGUUUUCAAUAGUGCAUCCCUAUUUAGUAAUGUUAGUUUAUUUUCAUCAAAUAUAUUUUCAUCAGAUCUUAUUUUGUUAAGUGUUCUACAUAAUGAAAUGCAAUGUACCGUAUUACCUUCAUUAUUUUCUAAAAUCUGAUUAUAUUUGAACUUUUUGGCGAUGAUUUAAAGAGUAUUAGAUUUAAAUUUUAUUUCAUUUCACUCUUCUUAACGGUACAAAGCAAAAAGAUAAGCACAAGAAAGAGGA